UUGUCUCAAAGAUUAAGCCAUGCAUGUCUCAGUACAAGCCGAAUUAAGGUGAAACCGCGAAAGGCUCAUUAAAUCAGUUAUGGUUCCUUAGAUCGUACCAACAUUUACUUGGAUAACUGUGGUAAUUCUAGAGCUAAUACAUGCAAACAGAAGCUCCAACCGGAGACGGAAGGAGCGCUUUUAUUAGAUCAAAACCAAUCGGUGGCGGGUUCGCUCGUCAUCGUACAACUUGGUGACUCUGAAUAACUUUAAGCUGAUCGCACGGUCUCGCACCGGCGACGCAUCUUUCAAAUGUCUGCCUUAUCAACUGUCGAUGGUAGGUUCUGCGCCUACCAUGGUUGUAACGGGUAACGGGGAAUCAGGGUUCGAUUCCGGAGAGGGAGCCUGAGAAACGGCUACCACAUCCAAGGAAGGCAGCAGGCGCGCAAAUUACCCACUCCCGGCACGGGGAGGUAGUGACGAAAAAUAACGAUACGGGACUCAUCCGAGGCCCCGUAAUCGGAAUGAGUACACUCUCAACCC
rnacentral:rRNA from 1 species